GAUGAACGCUAGCUACAGGCUUAACACAUGCAAGUCGAGGGGAAACGACAUCGAAAGCUUGCUUUUGGUGGGCGUCGACCGGCGCACGGGUGAGUAACGCGUAUCCAACCUGCCCACCACUUGGGGAUAACCUUGCGAAAGUAAGACUAAUACCCAAUGAUAUCCCACGAAGGCAUCCGAAUGGGAUUAAAGAUUUAUCGGUGAUGGAUGGGGAUACGUCUGAUUAGCUUGUUGGCGGGGUAACGGCCCACCAAGGCAACGAUCAGUAGGGGUUCUGAGAGGAAGGUCCCCCACAUUGGAACUGAGACACGGUCCAAACUCCUACGGGAGGCAGCAGUGAGGAAUAUUGGUCAAUGGGCGAGAGCCUGAACCAGCCAAGUAGCGUGCAGGACGACGGCCCUAUGGGUUGUAAACUGCUUUUAUAAGGGAAUAAAGUGGGUCUCGUGAGACUUUUUGCAUGUACCUUAUGAAUAAGGACCGGCUAAUUCCGUG
rnacentral:rRNA from 1 species